UACGGGGGGAGCAAGCGUUGUUCGGAUUUACUGGGCGUAAAGCGUGCGCAGGCGGUUAUGUAAGACAGUUGUGAAAUCCCCGGGCUCAACCUGGGAACUGCAUCUGUGACUGCAUAGCUAGAGUACGGUAGAGGGGGAUGGAAUUCCGCGUGUAGCAGUGAAAUGCGUAGAUAUGCGGAGGAACACCGAUGGCGAAGGCAAUCCCCUGGACCUGUACUGACGCUCAUGCACGAAAGCGUGGGGAGCAAACAGG
rnacentral:rRNA from 1 species